CCCCAAUUUCCCUCUUCCUUUCUCACAACUCACACGAUCCUAAACUCACCCAUCCAAAAUGCCGCCAACGCUUUCCGUGCUCACCUAUCCCGAACGCCGCCGAACGCCGAACGCUAACUUCCAUUCAAAAGUCGAACGCCUAACACAAACGCGAACACCGCUCCCCUGCUCCUCUGCUCGCGGAACGUCGAAUGCCAAACGCCGCUCCCCUGCUCGUCGAAAGCCUAGUCCAUGGUGGUUCCAAUGACGUUGGAUCCAUGGUGGCAUGACGACGUGAUUGAUUUAGAUGCAUCUUAUUUUCGCUUAGUUUUCUUACAUCUAUGAUUUUGAGGAAAAAGGGGGAAGAAUGGGAAGAGCUCCUUGCUGUGACAGAGCCAAUGUUAAGAAAGGGCCAUGGUCUCCUGAAGAAAAUGCGAAACACAAGUCUUAUAUUGAAAAACAUGGAACCGGUGGUAAUUGGAUUGCUUUGCCUCAAAAAAUUGGACUUAAGAGAUGUGGGAAAAGCUAUAGGUUGAGAUCGUUGAAUUAUCUUCAUCCAAAUAUUAAGCAUGGAACUUUCUCUAAAGAACAAGACAGAAUCAUUUGUAGUCUUUAUGUUAGUAUUGAAAGCAGGAAUUUAGGCUAUACUACCGGUGGUUCAAAAGCAGCAUCAGCUUCUUGUUACGUUGCUAUUAUGCAAUGUCGUUGCAAUGGAGGUAAUUGAAUUGAUUGGAUCCGGAGCUCCCCUAUUUACAAUGCAUACAUAACAGGGACAUUUUCCAUUUCUGUUGAAACGAGGAUGGCAUUUAGGUGGAGAAAUUAGUACUAUAAAUUAUGGGUUUUAUCUAUGAGAUUUUUCAGUUGAACGACAAAUAUUUGUCAUUCCUCAACGUAUUCGUCGUGGUAUCUGUAUUGAAUUUUGUAUAGCUUCUCUGUUCUAACAUUUUCUACCUGCAGGCACUUCCUAUAUACUUGGAUAAACUUUUUAAUCAGUAUGUUGCUAUAAUUCUCUCUGUGACAUUUAUAUUGGCAUUUGGAGAGGUAUGUUGCUUUUAUAUGGUUAUAGUUUGUUCUGGUUUUUCCCUUAAUACACAAUGAGACAUUGUUUAGGUGUGCACAAUUAAAAGCUCUCGUCUCCAUCCACAGUUUAGAGGUUGUUGAAGGCCCAUGUGAUUCUGUAAUUAUUCCUGAUGGGGCACCCUUAUCUGCAUACCAAUACUUUGAGAAUACUCAUACAACGAACACGAGAAAGCCUGCAUUUAGGUGGUUGGAAGUGAGGGGUAAAGUCAAAAAUGAGUCAACCCUUCUUCCAGAGUCCAGAAAAAGGGCAUUUGGAACUCAAUUUGGACCCCUUUACUCCAAUAACAGUAGCUAAAGUUGGUGUCUUGUACAAUAACAAUGUGAAGUGGACUCAUGACUGGGAAAGUCUUUCCUCAACAUUCCGUCCCCAGUAUCACAACCAAGGUUUCUGGAUGCAAUUCUUUUGAAAGUAAAUGAUUGCAAAGAAAACUUCCAAAUCAGAGAAGUUGGCUUAUCGAUUCUGGAUGAUCGUUUGGUACUAGUUCUUUAUCUAUAGCUUGCUGUCUGUUUCUUCCACUUGUUUCAUGCCAUAUAAUUCCUCAAGUCUAACAGGAUUCUUUUCCUUUUCAUCCUGCUGAACUAUCAUAGGACAGUAAAUUUUGGAGAAAUCGAGGGAAAAUAUGCAGCAGUGGUUUAUUUUGAUUAAUUAGACUGUUACUUGGAAGAUAUAUUGAACUUGAGUAAAUUUUGUAUAGAUAUACAUGAGUUUCGUGCUUCUUCAGAAUUUCGUGCUCUUGAUUCACUUGCUGGAAACUCCUUAUGCAUCUAUAUAACAAAAUGAGUAAAUUUUGUAUAGAUAUACAGAAUUUGGUGUUCUCUCAUUAGUUAUCUUUUACUUUGUAAAGUUAAUAUAUGAACUUAGAAAUAUAUUAUCAUUAUCCUUCAAGAUUUCUUGCUGAGCAAGAUUUCUUGCUGAGCAAGAUUUCUUGCUGAGCAAGAUUUCUUGAACAUGCACUGUUUGCAUUUUUUUUAAUGGUUACUGUUUAAUGGUUACUCUGCAAGGACAGUACGACAACGACGACAUUUAGCAAGUCCAUAAAAUAAUUGAUACACGAAAACCAUACUCACAAGUUGAGUUAGAUGAGGUGCGGGUUGAGUUGGCUGAUUUUUUGGUUCGUACAUAUGAUCCACGACUUAUUUGUGAUUCUGAAGCAGGAAACAUUUUUUUUGUGGUUGAUUUUUUGAAUUGUUCAUAUAGAGGAGUUGAUUGAUAUACUUUUGAGACUUUGAUGUGGUUUAGGGUUUAGAUGAAUUGUUGAUAGGUGAAUUGUUCAUAUGUAGGGGGUUGCCAUUAUGAAGCUUUAUGUAUGGAGAUGAUAUACUUUUGGGCUAAGUUAGUUAAUUAGAUGAUGUUGAAUUGAAUUCUUGGAAA